rnacentral:misc_RNA from 1 species
GUGAAGAACGUCGCGAAAUGCGAUAAGUAAUGUGAAUUGCAGAAUUCAGUGAAUCAUCGAAUCUUUGAACGCACCUUGCGCUCCUUGGCAUUCCGAGGAGCAUGCCUGUUUGAGUGUCAUUAAAUUCUCAAGACCUGUCUGCUUUUUUGAUAGGUAUUGGAUUUUGGGGGUUGCAGGCUGUUUCAAAUAAAUAGCCUUGCUCUCCUUGAAUGUAUUAGUGGAGAAAAGCCAUUGAACUCCAUUGGUGUGAUAAAACCUAUCAAUGCCAGGAGCAAUAUCACUACUUCUCUCUGCUGUCUAACUGUGACUGUCUGUAUUAAUUAGUAUGGAUGGGGACAACUUGACCAACUUGACCUCAAAUCAGGUAGGACUACCCGCUGAACUUAAGCAUAUCAAUAAGCGGAGGA